CCACCCCCCCACCCCGAGCCCCCGAGGCGUUUGAGGACACAGUGGGGGUUUAGGGUGGGGUAAGAAGGGCAGAUUCACAGAUGAGCUUCAAAAUAGCACAACAGAAAGAACUGACAGCAAAAGCAGCAGUUCUGUUAUCCGUCGCUCCCCAGAGGCUGCGCCGUGUCCUUGCUUCCUGCCUGGACGGGAUUGUAUAAACACGAGGAGGAGUCUCCGCCUCACAGGGGGGUAAACUGAGUCCGAGCCCUGGGCUGAGCACUGGCAUCUACUCAGAUCUGCCUUCUCCCUCCGCUGCACGGCUCUAGGGACGGGGGUUCUGCCCGGGCCCCCCGGAACUCCCCAGGACAUGAGGCUCUGGGUCCCCUUUCCCGGCCCCAGCCCUGCCCUGGCUGCAGCUGUGAUUCGGAGAGUGGAGACGGCUUCCCUCCUGGGGCCAUAAAUUGCAGCCAAGGCACCACGAGAGGAAAAUGGGGCCUGAGGGCAGAACAGCCGGGAAGGUUGCCAGGAACCCUGCCAGUGUCCCCAAGCCCCAGCUCUCACCUGCCACUCGGGUGUGAGACGGCCCCGAGGCACUUGCCCCCCAGGCCCCCUCCCGGGGCUGAUCCAGUGUGGCACCAGCUCAGGAGGUGGGCAGGGCAGCCCCUCAGGCCUGGGCCCGGGGGCUCAGUGUGUCACUCGCCACUUCCUCCAGGGCCAGCCCUUGCUCCCCACCUGGGGGUGGCCCCUUGCUGCAAGUCCCGGGGGUCCGGGUGGGACCCCGCCUCUCUCUUCCCGGGAGCCGUGCAUGGUGUCGCCAGCCUCGGCUCUAGUUGGGAGGCGGGCCCGUGGCCUCCUCUGGCCCCUCAGAGCCGUCGGGGGUGCGGAAGCUGCUGGAGGAGCCUGGGCCGCUCCUUCAAGUGCGCACGAUAGAGAUGCUGCGGCAACGCUGAGGUCACUGCUGGAGGAGUGCCGGGGACACGCUCGGGGCCUGGGGCUGGAGCCGACGCUGAGGCAGUGGAGCCAGGAGGCGGAGGGAGACCCCAUGUCCCCAGAGACCCGAUUGCCGCCACCCCGAAGCUGAGCAAAAUCCUUGGAUUUCUUAUGGGAACCACACCCUGAUAUUCUGACUUGAGUUGGGGUCUCGGCCACUUCUCACGGCUGACACCUGACCACCCUCUGUGGCUCCACACGCAGGGGCCGAGCACGUUCCCGCCCCGCGCGCCGGUGUCCCCAGCCCCUCCCCAUGAGACGCACAUCGGGCUGCCUUCCCUGGUAGCCAGGGCACCAGAGGUGGUGACUGCCGCGUCCCCUCACUUCUCACGCAGGGAAGUCGCACCAGCCCUGACACUGCUGGUUAGGACCCGUCACAAGAGCCUCGUGGCACAGUCGUGUGCUUUAGCACGCAGACCAGCGGGGGCCGAGGCAACGCCCUCCCGUCCGUGCUGUGACACCCGCUGCCUCGUUAUGCACCCGGGGGAUUGUCCGCGCCUCCACGGCCAGAACCCCGUCUCUUGACCUGUAGACGGAGGAAAAUCAACAUCAGCGUGCUUGGAAGAGUUGAAGGGAUGGCCCAUUUCGUGUCGGAACUCAAGUCCUCCACGUGGAGCUGGAACCGGGUCCGGAGCCGCCACGUGCUCCUGCCCUCCGAAGCUGGGGCUCCCUCCCGGCGGGGGCUUGGCCAGGUUCCGGGCUUGGGAAGGGUGCGCGCUCUCCACCCGUGGACGUCUGGGCUCUCCCUGAAGAGGGGAGCCAGCAGUGGCCGCGGCCCAGCUCUGCCACGAGUGUCCUCAGGCCUGGAAACCCACACACAUAACGCUAUCGAGGACGCCUGUGUCACCCCCCCGUCUGCGGCGACAGCUUCCCCAGCACUGAGGGAGGGGGACCUGAGGACAGCGCGGCCUUUUUGGUGCACAGCUCUCCCCGGAGGAAGCUCAGUGCCCUGACACUGCCACCUCUGGCUUCUGGGCCCCAGGCAGUGAGCAGCUUGGCAUGGAGAAGCGCCAGCUGGUUAAAUCCACGCAACCUCCUUGGAAUUCCUGGUUCCACCGGCGGAAGCGGCCUUUGGCUGUUUUAAGCAAACAGGGACGAUUUGGGGGCUAUCUCGGGGACUCACCAAAUUGGUGGAUGCGGGAAGGUGCUUGGCCAUAGAGGACACACUGCAGGCGGGCGGGGACCCUGGGACGUGCCCUGGGUGUGGAACCCUUGCCUCGUGGCGCCGCGGCCCUCCAUCUGCUCCCACCUCGCGCACCCCCCAUGCAAGACACGGGCCCCAGGAGAGCCGCUCAAUGUCCACACCUUUGUGAAUUUUCCAGUUCUCCCUCUGCUGCAGAUUUCUACCUUCAUUUCAUUGUGAUCAGGCAGGAUACGUUGUAGGAUUUCAAUAUUUUAAAACGUAUCGAGCCUUGUUUGGUGACCCACCGUGUGGGGGUGCCCUCGAGAAGGCCAUGUCUCCGCUGCCGAGGGUGACGGGCUGUGUUGGUGCUGCAUCUAGUUGGUUUAUGGGAUCAUUCACAUCUGUUUCCUUACUGAUCUUCUGUCCAGAUGUCCUCUCCAUUAUCGAGGGUGCUGCACUGGCGUCUCUACUAUUACUGUAGAACUGUCUGUUUCUCCCUUCGAUUCUCUCAGUGUUUGUUCAUAGAUUUUGGGAACCUGUUGGUGGGUGCAUGUGUGUUUCUAAUUGCUAUGAUGUUUGUGGAAUUGACCCUUUUAUCAAUACAUUGUGUCCUCCUUUG